GCGAGAUAGCUCAGUUGGUUAGAGCAUUCGGUUCAUACCCGAAGGGUCGAGGGUUCGAAUCCCCCUCUCGC
rnacentral:tRNA from 2 species